rnacentral:lncRNA from 1 species
AGAAAGAAAGAAAGAGUGAGGUUUCCCAGACAAUGUAUAAGAAAAUAGUCUGUGACAAAGAUAGAGAGUAAGCGAUAUUGUAGUGAGGUGGAAAUAUCAAAAGAGAGUUAUUUCUUUUGAGUGUUGUAGUGAUCUUUGGAGUAUUUUACUCGGACCUACAAAGUGUAAAAUUCCUUGCUUUAGUGAUAUCAGUUGCUCGUCUCGGGGCCAUGAUUUUUUCCUUUAUUCAAAAGGGUUUUCCACGGGUUUUCCAUGUAAAAAUGUUGGUGUCGUUGUCACUAUUUUAUUCUUGUUAAUUAUCGUAUCUCGGUGCUACUUUAUUAUUCUGCUUUUAUUAUCGUGAAUAUUAUUUCUGUAGGGUGUUUAUUCCCAACAACCACUGGUUUGAGACAAGUUGAUCACUUGGGAUUCUCCUGUGUCCAACAAACUUGGCCCUGCUUCCUGUUGCCUCUGAAUGGUAAGAUUGUUUCUGUUUUCAUUAAGAUGGGUGAAGCCAUUUUUGGUGCUGACAUUCCCUUCAUCGACAACUUUAUUUGACUUGGCAGCAGAUUUAGCUUUCACUUCUAUCCAUCCAUCAGGUUGUGCUUCUUGUUGGUGUUCUUUCUGCUCAAUGUGCCUUUUGUUUGAAGCUAGUUCAUUUACCUGAUUAUCUACCAUAUCUUUUUGUGUCCUCUCUUUGAUAGUCUGUCCUUUGUGCUGGCAAACUUGCACUACUCUUUGGUUCCUUCUUCCGUGCUGCUGUACUGGUGGUUGCUGUGCUAGGAACUCAUAUUUGUUUUUGCAAUUGUGCCCAAUCAGUAGACAUGUCUCACAAAACUCCGGUUCCCAUUCAUAUCCUACCUCUUGAUCAAAUAUUUCCCCAGCAGGGCUUUGUACCUUGAUUACUUUAGGUAGUGGUUUGGUAAUGUCCAUAUCUAUAAGAACUCUAGCAUAUGAUAUUCGAGCAAUGUUCGAUGUGUAAUCAUCAGCAUACAAAGGAGUACCCAAGCCACUGCUUAUUUUACUUAAAGACCUCAUUCCCCAAAAAUUUAGAGGAAGGCUUGGAAAAUUAACCCACAAUGGAACAGUUUUCAACACUUGAUUGUGAAAAUUGAACUCUGUUGUCCAUGAUUUCAUUAUAACAGGUUUAUUCUUAAUCAUAUUGGGGCCUGAAAGUAGUACCUGAACCCUUUCCUCUAUGCUCUGAAAUCGGAUGACGAAAUAGUCAUCGUUGUGGUAGUAUAUCUGGGGCUUAGCUUCCAAUUUUCAUUGUGCUGCGAUGAAUCUCUCCACUACUCCAAUCGAUGGGGAAUUACCAAUGACAUAUAGGAUAAUUGCCAUUUUCCACUUCUCAUUUUCUUCUGCUAUAUCCUCCUGUUCUAGUUUAACUACCUUUUGUCCUUCUUGUAAAAUAGGGGCAAUAUAUUAUAGGGGCAUUCCUUUUGAGGCCAAUUUAUUCCGAGCGACCACGCUUGCCCAAGUUUGGUUUCCACCAUUACCAGAUUGUUUCUCUGUAUUUACCUGAGCAUCACUUGUUUCCUUUGCGAUCAAUUUUCCAAUUGUAUUCCCUAGAGUAUGCACUUGUUUGGGACUAGAUUGGUAUCCAGUAUUGUUUGUGCCAAUAGGGCCUUGACCUCCUCUACUACUCCCACGAGUGUCGUUAUUGUUCAUCGGAGUCGUUUGUGGCCUAGGUUGUUCGUAUUUUAAAAAAUUCCAGCUUUAAUUGCAGGUUGCCUUAUUACCUGGCCUCCACCAUCAUUGUUGCUCUGAAUUCUAGGGUUACUGCCCACCCUCGCAAUUUUCAUCUUCCCUGCGUUCAUCGUAGGAGUGUCUGCAACUAUCUCUAGGUCGGCAGCUUGCCUUUCCGGUGAUACCUUGGCAUUUUUUCCAUUGUUCGAUCCAUUUGGUGGCUUACUAUUGCUGGAUCCCGCUUUGAGUUCAUCAAGUAGCUUCAGAUCUGUAAGUAGUACUUUGUUUGCACACAUUGAUGGUCGUCCCCUCCCCAUUCCG